rnacentral:lncRNA from 1 species
GGAGGAUUGAGAAGUGACAGUGUUGAGACAAGCAACAUAAAACUCCAGGGAUGGCUGUGGGGAUCAAGGGAGACACUGGCCAUAGGGAUACUAUGUUAACUGCAGAUGCGGCUGUAGGAGCACUUUGCUAACUUCCAACCUGAUUGGGUCAGGCAAGUCCAUCCCGUCCUGAGAGCCCCAGGCCCCACUUCGACCUCUAAACAGAUUCCUCCUCUUCUCAGAGACCUCCCUUUCCAAGCCUGCCUGGCCCGAAAAGAAUGGCAUGCAGCCUCUCCUGCUCCUCCUGCCGCCUCUCCUGUACCAACAGCUUCUCCACCCAAGCCUGGGUGCUCCUGGGGAGUCCUGCAUUAGAGGAAGCAGCUGCUGGAUCUACUGUGCAGUGGGGUUGUCAUGGGGGAGAACCCUCCCUGUCCUCUCCCGGUGCAGCCUCCAUGCUAUCAGUGAGGCUCACUAAGAUCUUCAGAGAGAGGGAGGGGGGUGGGAAUCUGAGCACAGUGCGAGCCUCCCCUGCUCCUGCCUGCCCACCCCGCCUGAGGGCUCUACUCAUCACUCUGCUUGUCCGCACACCCAAGCUCCUGUGGGACUGGUGCUCAGAUACUGGUCUGGCUGCUGCUGCAGACUGGGAGCCUCUUGGCUCUUCAGCUCCACCUGCCGGAAGACCCUGGGCAUGAGGACAUGUGGUGGCUGGCUUCCAGAUUCCUGGCCCAUUAAUAGGGUAGCGAGGGCACUGUGGGGCUCUGUGGCCUGCCCAGGCCCCUGGCCCCUUGCUCCAGGCCUAAGAGACUGGCUCCCUUGCCUAGAACCCCAUGCCUCCUUCCCUAGCAUCAAAUCUCACGUCCUUUUUCCCAGCAUUUAAACUGUAGGCCACAGACUGGUGGAAAAGCAGGCGGAGCCAACCACCAUCUGCUAAGUGUGCUACAUGCCUAAUGUUUCCACGUAUUAUCUCAUUUAAUCCUCAGGACCUCUGCAAGGAAAAGGCUAACUUCCUUUUGAAGUUAAAGAAACAGAGACUUAGAGAUGCAAAGUAGUUGAAUUAUGACCAGUGGAACCGAGGCCGGAAUCCAGUUUGAAUCUAAGGAGUCUUUUUUGUUUUUCUGUUUUGUUUUGUUUUGUUUUGAGAGAGUGUCACUCUGUGUCCCAGGCUGCAGUGCAGUGGUGCAAUCUCAGCUCACUGCAACCUUCACCUCCCGGGCUCAAGUGAUUCUCGUGUCUCAGCCUCCCGAGUAGCUGGGAUUACAGGCAUGCACCACCAGGCCCGGCUAAUUAUUAUUAUUAUUUUUAAUUUUAGUAGAGAUGAGCUUUCACCAUGUUGGCCUCAAACUCCUGACCUCAAGUGAUUGUCCUGCUUCAGACUCCCAAAGUGCUGGGAUUGCAGGCGUGAGCCACUACACCCGACAUAAGGAGCCUCUUAUACCACUGUCUCUUCCUCUGUGAUUGGGGGGCUCCAUGCCUCUAGCUGGGAUGAUGAUGUCCAGACCUGGGAGGACCCCAGGGCUACCCACCUCUAAAAGUCAGAGGGCAGGAAGCAAGAAACAGUCAUAGGACUGCCCCGGAGGGUGCUGGGGUCACCUGUCCCCAGGCUGCAGCUGCCUGUGGCCUGGCACCUCCCCUCCCCAGAGGCUGGUGCCCGCCUCCCACAUCUUCUUGGAUGGGUCGGAGGUUACAGUCUCUUUCAGCUCACCCGACUUCUUCAGCUCCUUUACUUGCUGCUCCAACUGCAGUGUGCUCUUGUUCUCGUUGUUCUGGACAGAGAGAAGCAAUCAGUGGCCACCCACUAAAACUGGAGACCCCAGAACUUAGUGUCUGCCUCCCAUGGCACCGGGAAGGGUGGAGGCAGGUUAGAAAAAUAUCCCCUCUCUCCCACAGCCAUCAGAGCAGGGCUCUGGCUCACAGAUGCCUUUAGAAGUACCAUUUCAUGUGAAGGCUACAAUGCCCCAUUUUACAGGUGGGGAAACAAAGGCCUUGAGGGUUAGGGAAGAGGGCAGCCUCCCCAGGUGGAACGCACCAGCUCCUCGAAGCCGCUGCGUGACUCGGCCCGCUGCUCGUAGAGGGCUUCCCACCCCAGCUCCAGCAUCCUCUCCAGCUCCCGCAGCCUCUCCAGCUCCUGCAGAGUCUCCUGCUGCCACAGCCUCUCAUCCUCUUGCCGAAGCCUCUCCUGCUCCAGGAGCUCCUCCACCUCGUCCAGCAGCCUCUCCCUCUCCAGCAGCCUCUCCUGCUCCUCCUGCCGCCUCUCCUGUUCUAACAGCUUCUCCACCUCUUCCAGCAGCCUCUCCUGCCCUGGCAGCUUCUCCCGUUCACACAGCCUCUCCUCCUGUUCACACAGCCUCUCCUCCUGUUCACACAGCCUCUCCUCCUGUUCACGUAGCCUCUCCUCCUGUCUCCUGUUCAGGAGACUCAACAUCUGAUUGUUUUCCACCUCAGCCUGGAGCUGUCUUCCCACACUCUCUAGCUCCUUCCUUAGGUGGUUGGUCUCAUCUUGUAGCUGCUCCACCUUAGAUGGCCCUGCUGGGGGCUCUGGGGCCAGGGGUUCAGCUGAGAAAGGAAGCAGACAAUAAGGGCCUCUAGAGUUAAAAAAAAAAAAAAAAAAAAAUCCUCCCUUCGGUGCACAGCUCCUCCUCUCAGGCUUCCCAAACUUGGCCUCACUGCUAAUGACUCCUCACACCCGGAUGGUAGCCAAUCUUCCAAGUCACUUUCAGAUAGAGAGCACUGUGGGUGGCGGACAAUGGGCACUCCUCCCACUUUACUGAUGGGGACACUGAGGCUCAUGGAGAUGACAAGACUUGUCCUCCCCUGGCACAGACCUCUUUCCCUCUGCCUCAAAGCCCUUCCAUCCACCCACCUCCCUGGGGCAUUCUAAGUCACCCUCACAGCCCUCUAAUGCCAGUCCUGCUGCCAGGUCAUGCCAGCCCCAUCUUACCCGUCUGGUUUUUGAGUUUGAACAAGCUCCUCCCAAGCUUCUGUACCCGAUGUAUCUCAUGCUUCUUCUCCUCCUUAGAUGUGCGAACCUGCCCAAAGCAAAGGGGGAAAAGGGCCCUGGAGGGAGGGGCUGGUGAACCUCUAGAGACAGAGUUUGAGAAAGGCCCACCCCCCUUCUGCCAGUUUGUGAUUUAGAAACGUGCAUUCAUUCAACAAACAUUUACUGAGCAUGUACAGGCCAGGUACAGUUCUUCAUAGCAGAGAUAUAAAACAGCAAAGGACAGACAGGAGCCCUUGGCCCUGAGGUUUCCAUUCUAGGGGCCUUUAAAUCUCUGACUUUCAGAGCUAACCGAGACCUUUGAUACUCUCUGCCUCCUCCAGAAACACGAGCAUAAAGAGGAGAGAUGACUUGUCCAGACUCAAAAAGCAAAUUAGGGACUGAGGCAGAGCAGAAAUAUGGACCCCUGACAACCAGUCAGGCUAGUGCUUCCCGGAAAGGUGACAACCCCAGGGCAUGUGUGGCAAGGACUAGAGCAGGGGUGUCUGGAGAAGAGAGAGUCAGCAAAGAGGGCAGUGCAGAAGAGCCAUGCUGCAUGUUCUGUGCUCUGGGGUCCCUCCAGGCGAGACCUGGGUGCCCAGCUCCCCAUUUGCCCUUGGCAUCAGGGGCCCCUAGCCCCUUUCUUCAGGGCCCCAAGAGGAAACUGGAGUCCGGGAUUGACCAGCUG